UGCUGUCAUCGCGGCAACAGCUGUCAUUUUGCACGAGAUCGUUGAUGCUGCCAAGAGGGUAGCAGUUGAGAAUCACUAACAGAGUAAGUAGAAAUUUGGGGAUCUGAUGUGCAAUAUAAGGUAAACUGUCAUUCAUAAUCGUGAGAAAUAAUUUAAAGAUUAGUUUCAUAUGCUAUAGUAUUUUUUGUUUGUAUUAUUAAGGUUGAUUUAAAUAAAAAAGAUUUAUUGCUA